AUUUUUCUGCAAUGAUUUUAAGUACUUUCAUGGCAUUGGUCUGCGAGAGAUAGUACAGGAUUCCCUCCAAUAUCCAGACUGUACUCUUGUUUGUCUGAAAUCCUGAUGUUUCGAGCUUUUCAAGCCAGUCAUCUUCCGUUAGAAUUGUGGCUUUUGCUUGCAGAACCUCAGGAAAAUCAACCUCAAAAACACUGCUUUCUUUUAAACAGCAUAGGCGAUGUGAUCUUGCAUCCAUACCUGCAGGAAAGUCUCACCUGCAAACAGCUCGGCCAGCGGGUCAUGUAUCACCUGCUUCCACAAUGCCCGCCCAGCCGCUGUCUGGCACGCUGACCGCCUCAGGAAAUCCCAGUCGCUCUUGAUGGUUGCAUGAAGGCCUGCCAGAGUAUCGCUGCUCAGCAGCUCAGACAACUUCAGUUCUGGCCAAGUUAAAUGAAUGAAGGGAGGUUCUGAGGAGAGAGUGGAGUCAAGAUAUAGUCAUGAGGAUAAGGAAAGAGAGCCACACACAUAAUCAACAUGAAAGGUUCUAAGAUAUCCAGCCUCAUUUUGUGUGUAGGGAAAGAGAAAGGUGAUGAAGAGUCCACGAUCACCUUCAUCCAAUUGCAUAAAAAAGUGGCUGAAAAAGGCUCCCACCUUCAAAAUGUGGUUCCCACUUUUUUAUAUUUGUUGAAGAUGAUGUUUUGUUACGUACUUUAUCCUGAGAUAUUCACAUAUGGGCAUGUAAAGUAAUCAUAAUUCUUUAAACAAUAAAGUAGUGCAACUUUUUCAGGAUUUUAA